GGCUCUGUAAGAGGUCAAAGGACUUGAAGACUGUGUGUCACGUGGCUUCCCUGCCCCCUGCGAGGGCCGCCUCUGACGCUCCUUGGGAAACCUUAGCUAGCCAUGGUCUCCUUCUCAGCAGAUGGUGCUCUGGUCCCUUAGAAAAGUGAAGGGAACUUCUUGACUUUUCUAUGCAGAGCUUGCAUCUUCCUGAACUUUACCUUCAAUUGCCAGCUGGUUACCCCACAGGCCCCUCUAGAGACUACACCCUUUUUAUUUUCUCCAGAACUACCACCAACCCUUACAGGACAUCAGGACAUCCUGGAAGGGGAAGAGAAGCAAGCUGAAGAGCAAGCCAGCCAGAGAGGAGUUGAAUCCUAAGCUAAUUGUAGGUCUCUGCUGCUGUCCUGGAAGCAUUUCUGCCCCCAUCCACCAUGAUAGGCAAACCCUCCCCAGAUGUAUCGGAAAUCUUCCACAGGAUCGGCUCUGGGACCAGAAUCCCAGUACCUACAAAGAAACCAACGGGAGGGACAAAGGACGUAAAUGGAAAUGGACAGCUCACUGACGCUUCAUAAGCACAAGGGGACUUGGAACUCAUUCUCUUGAAAUCUCACCCAUAAAAAUUUCCAAACUAUCUGACUCUAUUCUCUAAUUCACAGUUUAAAUCUGUUACAAAUAUCAGCCACAAAAAGACUUGUAAUUGCUUUCAUUCAAGGACACUACAUUGUGCUUUAUGAAAUAUCUUAUCUCCUCUUAAUUUUAUUUUUAGCCUCAGUCCAGUCUCAAUCCCUCACUCUGUAUUCAAAUGUAAUUUCCCAGUGACUUUGGAGAAACCUUAUUUGUAGAAUCUCUAUGUGAAGAUAAUUCAAUCCCUAGAGGUUUCCAUCUCCACAUUGCACA